GCAUAGAUGCACACACAUCCCAUCACAGCUCCCUCACAUCAUGAACAGGAAGUCCAUUCACAGCAUAAAUGUGCAGAUCAGAUGUGAUGCUGCAUACAUCAUUUCUAAUGUGGAGGCCACGUGGUCUGGGUCUGUUCAUGACUCCAGGAUUUAUGGAGAGUCUAACCUGAGCAACAGACUGCAGCGUGGAGAGUUUGAUGGCCUUCUGCUGGGUGACAGGGGUUACCAUGCCAACCCAGGCUGAUGACCUCAUACCCUGACCCUGAACCAGGCCCCCAACAGAACUUCAACCGGACUCACUGCAGGACCAGAGCCCGGGUGGAGAUGACCAUAGGCCUGCUGAAAGCCCGUUUCCAGAGCCUACGUCUCCUCAGGGUGACCCCUGAGAGGGCCUGUGAUAUUACUGUGGCAUGUGUUGUUCUUCAUAAUAUUACCACUAUUAGAGGAGAGCAACACCCUGCCCUACAAACUGAAGACCCAGAUGAUGAGCCCAUCCACCUGCAGCUAUCCAGGACAGCAGAGCAGUCAGAGACACCGUAUGCAAUAAUCACUUUAGAGUUUAAGUCUCCAUCAUCACCACCACAGCAAAUAAAGACAUGAUACACAUUU